rnacentral:rRNA from 1 species
UGGGGAAUAUUGCACAAUGGGCGCAAGCCUGAUGCAGCAACGCCGCGUGAACGAUGAAGGUCUUCGGAUCGUAAAGUUCUGUUGCAGGGGAAGAUAAUGACGGUACUCUGUGAGGAAGCCCCGGCUAACUACGUGCCAGCAGCCGCGGUAAUACGUAGGUGGCAAGCGUUGUCCGGAAUUAUUGGGCGUAAAGCGCGCGCAGGUGGUUUGGAAAGUCUGAUGUGAAAGCCCACGGCUCAACCGUGGAGGGUCAUUGGAAACUAAUAAACUUGAGUGCAGGAGAGAAAAGUGGAAUUCCUUGUGUAGCGGUGAAAUGCGAAGAGAUUAGGAGGAACACCGGUGGCGAAAGCGGCUUUUUGGCCUGCAACUGACACUGAGGCGCGAAAGCGUGGGGAGCAAACAGG